rnacentral:rRNA from 1 species
UUGAAAGGGAAACGAUUGAAGUCAGUCAUGCUAGUGAAAAAUCAGUUUGACGGGUUUUGAGUUCUUGAGUAGAGGCAGGGUCAAACCGUUUCUCUUUUGAACUUGGGAUUUGUUAGAUGUACUUUUUCUUUAGCAGGUCAACGUCGGUUUCGGGGGUGUAAAAUACUUGGGGGAGAGUAGCUCUGCUUCGGGAGAGUGUUAUAGACCCUGGGGGAUGCAGCCUGUGGGAUCGAGGAUUGCAGCAAAUGCCUUCUGGCUUGUCGCCUAUUCCUGGGUGUCACCUGUCUUGUGGCAACAUUCUUGCCACCGGAGAGUACUAAUGCCUACUGUUUAGAGCGAUCGAAAAUUUCGUUAAGGAUGUUGACGUA